AGAGAGUGAGGGGGCGGAUGUAGCCAAGUGGAUCAAGGCAGUGGAUUUGUGA
rnacentral:tRNA from 2 species